AAAAUCCGUUGGUUUUUUAACCGUGAGGGUUCGAGCCCCUCUAUCCCU
rnacentral:tRNA from 3 species